rnacentral:rRNA from 1 species
CAUGUCCUUUUGAUUAUAAUUUAAGGUCUAAUCUGCUCAAUGAAUUUUUAAAUUGCCGCGGUAUUUUGACCGUGCGAAGGUAGCAUAAUAAUUAGUUUUUUUAUUGAAAGCUGGAAUGAAUGAUUGGACGAGAAAGCUACUGUCUCUAUGUAAUUUUUUUUUGAAUUUAACUUUUAAGUUAAAAGGCUUAAAUUUUUUUUAAAGACGAGAAGACCCUAUAGAGUUUAAUAUUAAUUUUUGUUUCGUUUUUUUUUGGUUAUUUUAAAUUGGAAUGAGAUUUUUUAUUUGGUUGGGGUGACCUUAAGAUUUAAUAAACUCUUUAAGUUUUUAUCAUUGAUUUAUGAAUAUUUAAUCUAGGUUUACUAAAUUUAGAAUAAAUUACCUUAGGGAUAACAGCGUAAUUUCUUUUUAGAGUUCUUAUUGAAAGAGAAGUUUGCGACCUCGAUGUUGGAUUAAAAUUUAUUUUUGGUGUAGAAGCUAGGAAUAUUAGGUCUGUUCGACUUUUAAAAUUUUACAUGAUCUGAGU